AUUGAACGCUGGCGGCAGGCCUAACACAUGCAAGUCGAGCGAGCGGCGGGCGGGUGAGUACUGUAUGGGGACUGCCCGAUAGAGGGGGAUAACUACGGGAAACGGUAGCUAAUACCGCAUACUAUCGGAUAACCCAUAUGGGAUUAGCUAGUUGGUGAGGUAAUGGCUCACAAAGGCGACGAUCCCUACCUGGUCUGAGAGGAUGAUCAGCCACACUGGGACUGAGACACGGCCCAGACUCCUACGGAGGCAGCAGUGGGGAAUAUUGCACAAUGGGCGCAAGCCUGAUGCAGCCAUGCCGCGUGUAUGAAGAAGGCCCUAGGGUUGUAAAGUACUUUCAGUCGGGAGGCGUUACCGACAGAAGAAGCACCGGCUAACUCCGUGCCAGCAGCCGCGGUAAUUC
rnacentral:rRNA from 1 species